rfam:Lachnospiraceae bacterium strain KH1P17 genome assembly, contig: Ga0059119_105
UGAUAGCUAUGAAGCGUGAAGUUGCUGCUUAUGCAGGUAUCUCCGUGGAGCGAAUGUCAAGUCGAGAAACUGGCGACAA